rnacentral:lncRNA from 1 species
GGCCAGAGCGACCUUCUAGCGGCCGUCUCGAUGGUAAAUCUUCAGUUCCGGCCGGAAGUGCAUUUGCAGAGCUGGUUCCGCCGGGGAGGAGAACUCGCGUGCUCCGUGCAGAGGGGAUGCAUCCUGCGCAGCGUGGCUCGGGGGCGCCGUGGAGCCUCCCGAAGGCGAUCGUGGGAUUCAGAAACCUCUCCCGGGACUCCCAUGGGAGGAGGCUGACCCCGGGCCGGCACGCGAUCGCGGGAUGGGCUGGAGUUGUAGGAAGGCCCUAGGCCCGGGCCGCCAUCGGCGGGGCACUGGCUGCUUCUGUGUUGCAGGCGCCGCACGGGUUCGUCCGCUUACACAGAAUUGUAUUAAAUUGUCUUUUUAUUUCCCCACCCAGGAAAUGAACCACAUCCCCCAACGACUAGACGGAAGCACGCACAAGCUCCUUCCUCCCGAGGAGCGUUUCCAGUGACUUGAGCUUGGUUGGCCCAGGUAUGUCAAUCCUUGGGGGUGGGACGGUGACCUGAGGCCGACGGUCUGGGAAAAGGCUCCUGUGUGGCUGUACCCGCCCGAGGUGGGUGCAGCCCCGUACCAGACAGCCCGACCUUGACCUAAAGUAAAAUCCCAGAGGAGGAGGAACCUCUUCCCUGGGGUUAGAAUUUGCAGUAACAGGUGUGGACAUCCUAGCAGCAGUUUGGUGGUCAUGUAUGAUACUGCAAACAGGAGCCCUGCUGAAGCUGUGGGGACUGAGCACAGUCCUCCAAAAGCAAAUAUUUGACCAUUACUCAAGCCCCUCACUUUAGAUAAAAAAGAGAAAAAAGACGUAUUCAUUAUUUUAUUUUAUUUUAGAGUGUGGAUGUUUGCCUGGUGCCCCCAAGGGGUCACAAGAGGGUACCAGAUUUCCCAGAAGUGGCAUUAUAGAGUAUUGUCAGCCCCGGUGUGGAUGCUGGGAACUGAACCCAGGUCCUUUAAGAGGGCAACAAGUGUUCAGCUUCAAUGCUGAGCCAUCUCUCCAGCAACUGCACCACCCCGCUCUGAGAUAGGGUCUCACUUAGCCCAGGCUGGCCUUUACUCAUUAAGUAGCUGAGGGCAGCCUUUGAACUUCUAAUCCUCCUUCCUCUGCCUCUGGUAGCCGCCUGGAUGACCGGCAUCCUCGAGCACACGUGGUUUAUGGGAUGUACGGAUAAAGCUCAAGGCUAUAUGCAUGCUAGGAAGUCUUCUACUCCUGGGUGUCUGUCCCACCCACGUGGAGCUUAAACAAAGAUGCAUACAGUUGUGACUCCAGACGUCACUGGACAAGACACCAGUACAACCCAAACAAACAGAAAUCGUUCCCCAGGACUCACCUGAGCGACCGUGGGCCCCACUAGGUUGUCUCUUCAGUGUGGUUGAAGGACUGGGCGUUUGCAUUUUGAGUAGCCACAUGGGGCCAGUGGUCACCAUUUUGAAGGUCCUGGGUGUGGCAUACUUCCGGAAAAACCAUGACAAGAGGAAUCUGCCAUAGUUCAGGCUUGUCACAUGCUCUUCAGGGGCACGGGAGCCAGGCUGGAGUGUGGCUCAAUGAUAGACAUAUGCUUAGUGUGUCUUGAGAAGGUCCUGCUUGUUACACGGGACUCUGCAUCUGUUCAGGUAGACAUCAACAAGUCAUGGAAGGCAAUUGGAAAGAGACAGCACACAGGGACUAUGGCGGUCCUGUGAGGGAGGUACAGAUGGGGUCAGGAACACAGGCAUGCUGGAGUCAGACAUGGCUGGAGGGGAGGGAGGUCAAAUAGGAAUGGAUUUCAAGUUGUGCUGAGCUGCAGAGGCCUCGUUUCUGCAUCUGUCAACCAGCAGGUUUCCAAGGAAAGCCUGCAGUUAAAUCUGGGCAGAGAAGGUUCUGGAAGUCACUGGGUGGGUGGCCAGCCCCGGGUGUCAGCAGUUUUUAUCCAUUUGGAAGGACAGGAAAUUAAAAAGACUGAGCACCUUGUACCCCCACCCUGGGGCGUGGUUUGCGUUCUGGUGGUUUUAACUAAACGUUGAGAUUCCAGGUUUAAUGACGACUGGUGGUGAAUUUUCUUUUUUUUAGGUCAUUUGACUAGAAGCUUUGUCUGCGUGCACUGAGUGAGGAUCCGGCCCUACUGUGUGUAUCCCUACUGCGUGCUCCUGGACCUGUUGGGUUUGACUCUUGAUUUGCUGUUUUUGGGUAUUCACUGGCUGAGGACAGUGGCUGUGUUCAGUGGCUGUAAAUAAAUGGAGCUUGAACUCACUCUGUU